rnacentral:misc_RNA from 1 species
UUUCCGUAGGUGAACCUGCGGAAGGAUCAUUUCCGAAACAAACAUCCUUACAAACCCACUGUGUGCAAGCCCUGUAAGUUUCAAGACAGUCCAUGAGACUACUUGAAAUUACUUUUUUACCCACACAUGUGUACAUGCAUGGUGCCUUUGCAGCCCAUGUUUCUGUGUGUGUGCGUGGGUACAAGAGGCGCACUUGUAUGCGUUGCACUGCUCUCCUUUCUUUUUUGAGAGAAGCUGUAGUGUGAAUAGUCUAUACUAAGUGUGUCAUCGCCUUUUUUGAACCAGAUACCAACCUCGAAAGCUGUUUUUCUUGCGUUCCACAAAGAUAGGCCCCAUUGUACUAUAAUAUACACAUUUCGUACAAAUUAGUUGCAUAGCAGCUUUUGAGGAAAAAAUAAUAAAUGCUCGAAAACUUUUAACGGUGGAUCUCUUGGCUCGU